ACGGGUGAGUAAUGUCUGGGGAUCUGCCCGAUAGAGGGGGAUAACCACUGGAAACGGUGGCUAAUACCGCAUAAUGUCGCAAGACCAAAGAGGGGGACCUUCGGGCCUCUCACUAUCGGAUGAACCCAGAUGGGAUUAGCUAGUAGGCGGGGUAACGGCCCACCUAGGCGACGAUCCCUAGCUGGUCUGAGAGGAUGACCAGCCACACUGGAACUGAGACACGGUCCAGACUCCUACGGGAGGCAGCAGUGGGGAAUAUUGCACAAUGGGCGCAAGCCUGAUGCAGCCAUGCCGCGUGUAUGAAGAAGGCCUUCGGGUUGUAAAGUACUUUCAGCGGGGAGGAAGGCGAUAAGGUUAAUAAUCUUGUCGAUUGACGUUACCCGCAGAAGAAGCACCGGCUAACUCCGUGCCAGCAGCCGCGGUAAUACGGAGGGUGCAAGCGUUAAUCGGAAUUACUGGGCGUAAAGCGCACGCAGGCGGUCUGUUAAGUCAGAUGUGAAAUCCCCGGGCUUAACCUGGGAACUGCAUUUGAAACUGGCAGGCUUGAGUCUCGUAGAGGGGGGUAGAAUUCCAGGUGUA
rnacentral:rRNA from 1 species